rnacentral:rRNA from 1 species
CCUACGGGAGGCUGCAGUGAGGAAUAUUGGUCAAUGGACGAGAGUCUGAACCAGCCAAGUAGCGUGAAGGAUGACUGCCCUAUGGGUUGUAAACUUCUUUUAUAUGGGAAUAAAAUGUUACACGUGUGGGAUUUUGUAUGUACCAUAUGAAUAAGGAUCGGCUAACUCCGUGCCAGCAGCCGCGGUAAUACGGAGGAUCCGAGCGUUAUCCGGAUUUAUUGGGUUUAAAGGGAGCGUAGGUGGAUUGUUAAGUCAGUUGUGAAAGUUUGCGGCUCAACCGUAAAAUCGCAGUUGAAACUGGCAGUCUUGAGUACAGUAGAGGUGGGCGGAAUUCGUGGUGUAGCGGUGAAAUGCUUAGAUAUCACGAAGAACUCCGAUUGCGAAGGCAGUUCACUGGACUGCAACUGACACUGAGGCUCGAAAGUGUGGGUAUCAAACAGGAUUAGAUACCCGAGUAGUC